AUUGAACGCUGGCGGCAUGCUUUACACAUGCAAGUCGAACGGUAACAGGCCGCAAGGUGCUGACGAGUGGCGAACGGGUGAGUAAUGCAUCGGAACGUGCCCAGUCGUGGGGGAUAACUACUCGAAAGAGUAGCUAAUACCGCAUACGAUCUAUGGAUGAAAGCGGGGGACCGUAAGGCCUCGCGCGAUUGGAGCGGCCGAUGUCAGAUUAGGUAGUUGGUGGGGUAAAGGCUCACCAAGCCAACGAUCUGUAGCUGGUCUGAGAGGACGACCAGCCACACUGGGACUGAGACACGGCCCAGGCUCCUACGGGAGGCAGCAGUGGGGAAUUUUGGACAAUGGGCGCAAGCCUGAUCCAGCAAUGCCGCGUGCAGGAAGAAGGCCUUCGGGUUGUAAACUGCUUUUGUACGGAACGAAACGGCUCUGGUUAAUACCCGGGGCUAAUGACGGUACCGUAAGAAUAAGCACCGGCUAACUACGUG
rnacentral:rRNA from 1 species